UCAUUAAAUGUUAAAAGAAUACCAAGGGACCGUAAUGCUUUAAAUAGUUAUGAGAGAUAUUUACUUCACUAUGUUACUCCAACAAUAAUUUCUUGGUGCACUAUGUAAAUAAUAAAUUUCUGUGCAAAAAAUAAUGCAUGUGAUGGUAAAGAACCAAAAUGAUGGUGUGCAGCCUUAGUUGUAUCUAGAUUCACAAGUUUCUUCUGUUCUGUAACCUAUAUAUUUCUUCAGUUUAUGAGCAACGCUGACUACACUUUGGUAGUUUUAUAGUAACAAAUGGGCAGUUAUCUAUUUGCCUUUGGAUAGCAUCAUCUUCUUUAUUGUUCGUUGUAGUUCCUGAUUUUCUUCUUGGAGUAAUAUGAGUGGUUUUGCAUGCAAACAAUAUCACUUCUCAGUCAUUGAUUUGUUUUCUUUACUUAUUAUGUGCACAUCAUACACAUUGAGUUAUGAUAACCAAAAUUCCUUAGACAUAAUAUAACUUUUUCAUUUAUGUACUUACCUUUUUCAUUUGAAUCCUGGGGUCCAUAUGGUGCUCAAUUGUUAUUGGGGAAAUUGCCUUACUAAGCACCAGAAAUUAAUAUGCAGGGUUGGCUAAAAGAUAGCUCACAUUCUAUUUGGGAAAAUGAAAGCGCCAUGAUGCGGAGCCUGGUUCUGCUUUUGAAAUGUUUAAAGAUCAUGGAAAAUGCCAUAUUCCUAAGUAAAGACAAUCAGAUGUAGACCUUUGAAUCAAACUGCAAUUUCAAGCAGAUCUGUUUUCGUUGUUGAAUUCAAUCCUCCCUAGAUAACGAGCUGCAGGUCAUUUGUUCUAAUUCCUCGAAAAAGCAGUUCAAGUUUGACCAUGUCUUCAGACUUGAGGACAACGAAGGUCUACGUGUGCGGCAAGCAAAAUCCUUUCAUUCAUAUGAGCUUCUUGGGCCUCUUUACCUGGGUUUUUGAAAAAUUUGAACUUCACAAACUAUGGAAAAAGAAACAAGUUUUGCUGUAAUCAAUUUAAAGGCACAAUAACAAAGGUUAUGCACUUGCUUUGGACAUGACUGCCAGAGACAAGCUUCUGCUAAGAUGACACCACCUUUUCGGAUUUCAUACUUAUGUUCUUCCUCGAUGCUGAACUCUUGAAGGAGGGAUUAUCACUGUCAUUUGCCUUGAGGGUCUCCACUUAAAAAUCUCAGUAACCAUGGUGAAUUGGCUGCUGGCAAUAUGCACAUGGACGCACAGCCAAUUGCUUAUACCCGACGCUCAUUUUAAUCAGGGUGCAAAUGACUAUGUAUUGUCAAAAAUAAGUAUGAGUUUAAAUGACAGAAUAGAUUACAUCAUUGUCUGUUUAGAAUGUUCAUUGCUUUUCUGCUUUCGUGUUGCAUAUUUAGCCUUUCUCUGGGUGGUGAUCGUUUGAGGAUGUGCGAACUUGAAUGGUUGAGUGUGCUUGAUAGCAACCAAAUUCGGGUGAGAGCCAUGAAACUCUAAUCCUAAUUUUUUUCCUCUUUUGAAUUUAAGAGUGAAAUUGGUGCAUAUGUACCCUUUAUGUUGUCAACCAUGCAAAUUAAGUGUUUUUGGAGGUACUGUUUGUAUUUUCUCGGAAGUUCAGAAAGGGUGUUCCAUCGGUCUCAAUAAGAGUGGGUUGAGGGUACUUUGCAGAGUGACAGAGGUGGGUCUAGGGUUUCUCUCCCCUUCCUCUUCUUCUCCAUCAAAACCCUAAUAUUCCCAAUCCAAUCUGUCUUAUUUCUCAACACACCCACCUCCCCCUCUCAAGUCUCUAGCUUUAGCCGGCCGGAACCCGACCAAACUAACCCAAACCUUAAAUGGGCAGCCCACCCAAACACUUUUUUUUCUUAAUUCUAUUUGUUGCUGCUGGUUCCAAUAUUUCAUUGUCCUAUCUGUGUAUAAUAUCAGUAUUGCCACUUUUGUUAUUCUUAUCAAUAUUUACAUCUUCAUGUUCUUUUCAAUUUGUUUCUUUUACUUAACAUGGUUUCGACUUCUUGAGAUUGUGAGUUAAAUUAAGAUUUUAUCAUAUGAUAUCAUAGUUUAAAUUUGAUAGUUUUUUAACCGAAAGUGUCUUUUAAUGUGAAUAAAUUCUGUUAACAAGGAUUUUGGUCUCUAAAUUUUUCGUAGUGUAAUUUGUAUGGUAUAAUUUCUGCCAUUGUCUUUGUUUUUGUACUUCUCCCAUUUGUAUGUAAAUUUAGUGAAUUGGUGACAUUUUCGGGUCUGUGAAUUCAAAUGAAUGGUUAAAAUUUACAGUGACGGAAGAAAUUUAUGAGUUUUAACAAAUUUGUAAAUUAUUCAUAUACAUUUUAUUGAGGGAUACGAGGAUCUGAUCAAUUUCUCUCUGCAGUGGGAUUGAAAAUUGGGACUUUGUGGUACUCUCUCUCCCUCUUUCUUGCUCUCUCUCUCUCUCUCUCUCUCUCUCUCUCUCUCUCUCUCCCCUAUGGAUUUUUGCAUUGUGAAUGUUGAAUUUGUGUUUAAUUUUCUUUGUGAUGUUCAGCUGUGUGGCAAUGGAUACAUUCUUCAAUAGGAGCGUGUUAUUCUCGGCCCUAGAUGCUAUUCAUUGUGAUUUCCAAGGUUUCCCAAAAUAACAACAUUCAAAACAAUGGGGUGGUUUCGCUUUUCAUAAAUUUACAUUGGUUGUCAUCUUUAAAUGUUAUACCAUGCUGAGUUCCAAACUUUAUCUCUGGCAUUUUAGUGCGUUUUAGAUAGGAUGCAGUUAUGGCCGAAUAGCUAUGUAUUCUUUUAUCUUAUUAUUUUUCUUUCCUUUAGCUAUUAUUACGUGCACCCAAUCAACUCUCUUUCUUUUCUUUGUGAUAAUAGGUAACUGCAAUUUACUUUUGGAAUUGAUUCUUCACUGAUGAGAUGUUGUGGGGGCAUGAUUUGGGGGAGAUAUGGGAAGGGGUUGGUUGCAGAGAGAGGGUGAGGGCGGGUGCAUGAUUAGGGGGACAAAAAGAGAGUUGAUUGGGUGCACGGUUUGAGGGUAGGGUUGAAGGAACGAGUGUAUGGGCUGCAGAAAGAGGGUGGGGUUGAGGGAUUGUGUCUCUCCCUCACUGUCACACCUCUUCUUCUUGCAUUUACCCUUUUCUUCCAUUUGGGAUUGUGUUGGGGGUUUUGUUUGUAGCCUAUGAUUCUACGUGUGUUUGUUUAAUGGGUUUUUUGUUUAAAUUUUUUGGUUGUGAUUUUGGGGAUUUUGUUUGUGGGUUCGGAUUCAGCUUUAGGAGGUCGUGGUUUUUCAGAUUUGGGACUUUUCUUUGCAUUCUACGAAGCCCUCUAUAUUUAAAGUGAGCAGUUUCAAAAUUCCAGAGUUUUGAUAUAGAGUUUUGUUUGGUUUUUUUAUUAUAUUCGACUUGAAUUUGGUUUUUUGGUGUUUUAUUUUAUUGAAAUCACAGUUUGGGUUUAGACUUUUGUUUGGGUUUGAUUAUAAUUUUCUGUGCUGAUUAAAUUUGAUAACUCCAAAAUUGAUAAUUGGUUUGGUUUGGUUUGAUAGCUGAGGCAGGUAUAGGGAGAGAGGGAAAUUGUGGUUUUAACACUCUCGCUUCUGUUCUUGGAAGGUACUUCUUUAUAGAAGUUUCUAUGCUGAAUUCACUUUAUUUCACCUUAAAUCAUUGUCAAGGGACUGGUUUUGGGAACUUUGUGGUGCACGAGGAAGUUCUUCGGGUUAUUCAAAUGUUCGGUGGUUAACUUUCCGUUUGGAGAUUUUAGAAAAUAAGUUGUAGUCAUGAAUUUUUAGUUUCAUUUAAAAUGGUGUACAACAACAUCCAUAAUUCUGUGUUAAGUUUUUUAUUUUUCGGUUAGGCACUUAUAUGGUAAUGCCUCUAUUCUCUACCUCCUCUGAUUCUUAUUUUUUAUUUAUUUUUUCUCUUUGUGCAACUUCCAAAUAUGUUGGAAUUGGUGGAGCUUCCCACUCGCCUAGGCAUCUUUCCUUUAUGAAACAAGGUCCUUCUACCCUGCGCCAUCUUCGAAUUCAUUGCACUUCACCCGACAGGUAGUGUCAAAUUGGUGGAGAAUGAGUUAUGGUAGCGGGAAGAGAAGGGGUUAAUUGGUAUUCUUCCCGUUCAAGGGAGAUUCUGGUAAACGAAGCUCUAGAGUUUGUACUCAUCUCUCAUUCUUUUUUAUAGUUAGGUUGAAAGUCAUAUUAAUAGAUUCUUUAUUUAGUUGGUCCAAUUUGUAACAGAUGAGAUUAUUUUGUGUGAUAUUUCAAUCAAAAUGUGAUCUU